GAUGAACGCUAGCUACUGGCUUAACACAUGCAAGUCGAGGGGCAGCACAGAGAUAGCUUGCUAUCUUGGGUGGCGACCGGCGCACGGGUGAGUAACGCGUAUCCAACCUGCCCAUUACUCGGGGAUAGCCUUGCGAAAGUAAGAUUAAUACCCGAUGUUGUUUGAUUGCCGCAUGACGAUCAAACCAAAGAUUUAUUGGCAAUGGAUGGGGAUGCGGGACAUUAGGUAGUAGGUGAGGUAACGGCUCACCUAGCCGACGAUGUCUAGGGGUUCUGAGAGGAAGGUCCCCCACACUGGAACUGAGACACGGUCCAGACUCCUACGGGAGGCAGCAGUGAGGAAUAUUGGUCAAUGGACGAGAGUCUGAACCAGCCAAGUAGCGUGCAGGACGACGGCCCUCUGGGUUGUAAACUGCUUUUAGUUGGGAAUAAAAAGAGGGACGUGUCCCUAAUUGUAUGUACCAUCAGAAAAAGGACCGGCUAAUUCCGUGCCAGCAGCCGCCGUAAUAC
rnacentral:rRNA from 1 species